CUUAUUUAUAAGGGAUGAUGUUUUAAUUAUAUCCAUGUACUAAUGUGCACCAGUAGGUACACACUUACUUACUAAUGUUUCCUAAGAUUCAGCCAUUGAAAAUUAACUUUCCAUUUGAUUGAUUUACUUAAUUCAGAAUGUGGUAAUAUCCUGACCAAGAUUUUCAAUGUUUUAUGACCAUGAGCCAUAGUAAGAAAUACAUCUUUCAUCAUCACCAGGAUGAAAAUAUUUUGUGCAUGUAGAUGUGUAUGAGUACCUUUAGUAGGCAUUUCAUAUAAUGGCACCUUUCCUGUUUGUCACGAUGCUAUGAUAAUUUCUAUUCUGGUUCUUUUUCCUAAAUGCUUUUUAGAAGGUUUCAGAUUUAUUUUACAGCUCACUAAGAGUCUGUAGUGUUUAUUUUGAAAAUGGGUAUAAAGGUCUGUUUCUUUACAUCAUAUUUUUUCUGCUAUCUGUUUUCAAUGAGACAGUCCAAUAACUUCACAUGGAACCAAUCAGGGCAUGACCCCUUAGGCGUUCUUUUCAUCCCAGGUGAUCUUACCAACUUUCAUUGUCUCAUCAGGAUCAUCCCCCUUUGUGUAUUUCUGUCAGGUCCAGCCUUUCAGAUUCCCAUCAAAACUGAAGGUUUCUGAUCCUUUUCUAUUUCAGGUAACCAAGUUAUUGUUCAUAUCAGUACAGACAAAUGAGAUUAUACAUGUUCUGCAAAAAUUCUUGUACAGGAAUACUCUGAAAAUGUAGACAUAAAUACUCCUAGGUAUUUGAUAUUUAGUAUUGUGAAGAGCUUAACCAAUUGCAAAGUUUAAAGUGACAGCUCACAGAAGACUGCUGUCACUGCAUACCAAUGACAAAUUCAGUGGUUUCCCCAAAUUAUUUUCAUGUUCCAUAUUCUUAAAAUUAUGGGUUUUUAUAGGGGAAAGAUGCAUAUUACAAUUAGGAGAAAAAUCAAGUAAGACAGAGUCCAGGGAAGUAUCAAAUGAGAACUUUUUAUUGUACUCUCCCCAUGAAAUCAGGAUGCAUUACAUCCCCAAGAUUAAGGUGUGACAUUAGACGGGAGGAGAGCCUAUCAGGGAAGCUUUCCUGAGCCCUGGUAUUCAGAGUAAUCGUUGUCUGUUAAUUACAUAGCCAUUAUUGGUUGAUUUCUUUCCCGUAUGAGUAGUCUCAGUCUCCUGGUUGACUGAUUCCACAUGACCUAAAGCCUCACCAUAAAUCACAUUGUUGGUCUUUCUCACAUAGUGAGCACCACAUUCUCCUCAUAGGUGUGGCCACCCAUAAUCCUAAAUCGUAGAAUUACACCGUCCAGAGUGACUUACUAGACCUACUACCUCCAGGCAAACAAAGACACUCUCCUAGGGCAUGACAUUUUAAGGACUGAGAGAUUGCCUCUCAGAUGCUGAGGACAUCACCCAGGCCUCUUUGUGACUUAGGAUAAUUUCUUUACUUCAUAAGGAUAUACAAUACAAACUAAAAUAUACAAAGUUUUGACGAUGUUAUGGCUUCUCCUUAAAGUUCACAUUUGAUUCAUAUUUCACUGUUUACAUAAUUUAUUAGUUACAUAAUUUACCAUGCAAGGUUUUAUUUCUACCAAGUAUUUCACAUAUGACACGUGGUGUGGUUCUGAAUUGGUCUCAUGCAAACCAGAGUCCAUAGUGUACCUGGAAAACACAUUGGCUGGGCACAGUGGCUCAAGCCUGUAAUCCCAGCACUUUGGGAGGCCAAAAUGGGAGUAUCACUUGUGGCCAGGAGUUCAAGACCAGCCUUGGCAACAUAGCAAGACCUUGUCUCUACAAAAAGUGUAAAAAUUAGCUAGUUAUGGUGGUAUGUGCCUGUAGUCCUAGCUACUCAGGAGGCAGAGGUGGGAGGAUCACUUGAGCCCAGGAGGUCAAGGCUGCAGCGAGCCAUGAUUGUGUCCCUGCACUCCAGCCUGGGUGACAGAGGGAGACACUCUCUUUAAAAAAGGAAAAUACAGGGCUGGGCGCAGUGGCUUACACCUGUAAUCCCAGCACUUUGGGAGGCUGAGGAGGGCGGAUCACGAGGUCAGGAGAUCGAGACCAUCCUGGCUAACACAGUGAAAACCCAUCUGUACUAAGAAUACAAAAAAUUAGCUGGGCGUGGUGGCGGGCGCCUAUAGUCCCAGCUACUGAGGAGGCUGAGGCGGGAGAAUGGUGUGAACAACCCAGGAGGUGGAGCUUGCAGUGAGCGGAGAUCACGCCACUGCACUCCAGCCUGGGGGACAGAGCGAGACUCCAUCUC
rnacentral:lncRNA from 10 species